rnacentral:rRNA from 1 species
AUUGAACGCUGGCGGGAGGCGUAGCACAUGCAAGCCGAGCGGGUGAGGUGUUCUUGCUCCUUGGUUGAGCGGCGGACUGGUGAUGAAUGCCUAGGAGGCUGCCUGGUCGUGGGGGCUAACGUCCGGAAACGGGCGCUAAUACCGCAUACGUCCUGUGCGAGAGAGUGGGGGAUCUUCGGACGUCACGCUAUCAGAUGAGCCUAGGUCGGAGUAGCUAGUUCGUGGGGUAAAGGCCUACCAAGGCGACGAUCCGUAACUGGUCUGAGAGGAUGAUCAGUCACACUGGAACUGAGACGCGGUCCAGACUCCUACGGGAGGCAGCCGUGGGGAAUAUUGGACGAUGGGCGAGAGCGUGGUCCAGCCACGCCGCGUGUGAGGAAGGUCUUCGGAUUGUAAAGCACUUUAAGUUGGGAGGAAGGGUAGUGAGUUAAUACCUUGCUGUUUUGACGUUACCCAGAGAGUAAGCUCCGGCUAACUUCGUG